UACGUAGGGUGCAAGCGUUGUCCGGAAUUAUUGGGCGUAAAGAGCUCGUAGGCGGUCUGUCGCGUCGGCUGUGAAAACCUGGGGCUCAACCCCAGGCCUGCAGUCGAUACGGGCAGACUAGAGUCCGGCAGGGGAGACUGGAAUUCCUGGUGUAGCGGUGAAAUGCGCAGAUAUCGUCAGGAACGCCAGUGGUGAAGACGGGUAACUGGGCCGGUUCUGACACUGAGGCACGAAAGCGUGGGGAGCGAACGGG
rnacentral:rRNA from 1 species